GUAGGGAAUAUUGGACAAUGGGGGGAACCCUGAUCCAGCCAUGCCGCGUGGAGGAAGACUGCCCUCUGGGUUGUAAACUCCUUUUAUAUGGGAAGAACCGUCCUCAUUAAUGAGUGACCUGACGGUACCAUAGGAAUAAGCACCGGCUAACUCCGUGCCAGCAGCCGCGGUAAUACGGAGGGUGCAAGCGUUAUCCGGAUUCACUGGGUUUAAAGGGUGCGUAGGCGGAUAAAUAAGUCAGUGGUGAAAUCAACGGGCUCAACCUGUUAACUGCCAUUGAUACUGUGUAUCUUGAAUAUGAGAGAGGUAGGCGGAAUGUUGCAUGUAGCGGUGAAAUGCUUAGAUAUGCUACGGAACACCGAUUGCGAAGGCAGCUUACUAUUUCGCAAUUGACGCUGAGGCACGAAAGCGUGGGUAGCGAACAGGAUUAGAAACCCCGGUAGUCC
rnacentral:rRNA from 1 species